AUGGCGGCUGUGUUCUGUUCUCUGGCCACUGCACACAAGGGGCUGGUGCUCCAAGACUUUGCUUCACACAUGUAAGUUCCCCUGGACAGCAAACCGUUGAUGCUCUGUUGCUGUAUCCAGGUUCUUUUUUCUGUCUCAAGGCUGAGCUACUACAAGGCUCAGCAUGGGGUUUUGGAAGGAGACAUCAACCCAGAAACCUCAGUUAGGAUCCCAGCUCCUCUCAAAAUCCCCCACUUGGCCAGUUUGUUCGUCUGUAACGAAGAUAUGUCCUACUCUUGACCUUGCACUUCUCCAUGAUAACCACUGAUUGGCCCCAUUUUACGUAGAAUUGACAUAGAGGCUCAGAAAGAUGAAGUGACUUGCCCAAGGUAUUACAGCAAGUUGGGAUUCAGUCCAAUGCCUGAGUCCCCCAAUGCCAUGCUUUCUGUCCCACAGUGGGAGCCCUGGGCACAAUUUGACUGCUUUUUCACUUUUGGGAAGUGAAGUCCCAGCGCACAGCCCACCCAGGGGCAUCUGUGAUGCACACCAUCUCCCUUUGUGCCCUGGUUCUGCAUGCCUCCCACUGUGAGAACCCUGAGAAACAGGCAGAUGAGCAACCAUGGAUCCAGAUCCUUUGGAGUCACUUCCUGGCAGAUGCCACAUCUAAGGACAUCCCAUGCCCUGCCAAGGGCUGUUUGGAUAUUCCAGCAGACUCUGGAUCAGGGGAAGCAGCUCAGCUUGGAAACAGAAUUGUCCACAGAUAGAUAGAAAUAGAACCUGUGAGCUGAAAACUAUGACUGAUGCUCUGUUCCCUGGCCUGGCCCAGGGCUUCCUUCUGAUGAAGUCAGCACUGCUGUGAACAGCGAGGAUUGCCAGAGAUGCCUGCUCAGGUCUCAGAAAUAAGAACAGACGCCUGUCCAUUGACAGUUGUGUUCACUAGGGCUCUCUGUAUGCAGAUUUCUGCGGGGGAGGUGACAGAGAAUAAAAGACAUGGCACUUGAAACCAGCCGUCAAUUUCUGAACGUUGGGAAGGAGUGAGGACCAGUACUUCCCAGGAUCCAGUGCUGUCACCUGCUGAGCCCAAGUGGGAGGGUAUGGUGACACUGCUGUCAGGAGGGAUCAAGGCUCCCAAAGUCCAAAAUGCAGAAGAUAGCCACCAAGGAUUUGCUGAACAUGAGCCCAGGAAAGAGAACUCAGCUAGAAGACGCCAUCUAAAAACCAGCCAGAAACCAACUUCCAGCCUUCAGAACUGGUUCAGCACAAUCCAGCCAUCUGGACCAGGUACCCAGAAGGAGCCAAAAGAUGUCUCAGAAUCAAUGGGAAGCUUUCCCCAAGAGCUUUUUGGGGUGCAUCCAAAGGGACAGCGAUCUGGAUCCAGGUGGCCUGCAGCCUCCCACCCAGCAUCCCCCCAGCUCCGACUGCCUCGCCGACAGACGCUGCAGGAAGGGCAGCCUGGAAUCCGGUGAACUGGGAAAUCUGAGGAUGCAGCCUGUGGCAACUUGGUCCACACUCCAUGCUGGCCUGGUGGCCACCCUGAUUCACCAUCAGCGUGCAGGAAGAAGAGAGAAGGUUAGUCACAUCUUUUAGAGGCUGUGAUCUAAAGCAGCAUCUUGAGUACCUGAGCCGUUCUCCACAUCAACAUGACCAUAUUUUUAGCUUCUCCGGUGACACAGCCGGAAAGGUUUCAUUAAACAGCUGGGGGAAAGGCAGUUGGUAACUAGGAGUCCGCUGUUCUCACACGUAAAUCUCACACCUGAAGAAGCGCCCUGCCUAGGGCCCCCGGGGGACCUUCUUCCAGGCUGCGGGGCAGAGCUCUUGGGACUGACGAGGGACAGGUGAAGUGGGUAUAGGGUGGGUAGCCUCCAAGAGGUGCCCACUGAUCUUUGCCUCUGGGUGAACCUUAGGUAGUCCCCUCCCACAUUGUACCAGGUUUGUCUGCGUCGGGACCCAUCCAGGUGGGCAGAAGUGACAGUGCAUGACUUCCAAAACUGAGCCAUAAAAAGUACCAUGCUCUCCAAUCACCUUGGAAGGGGGUGGCUGCCAUAUUGUGAGGACACUCUAGCAGCCUGUGGAGCAACAUCCAUGGAGAGGAGCUGAAGCCCCUGGCCACCAGCCAGCACCAACUUCCCAGCCCUGUGAGUGAGCCACCUCGGAAGUAUAUUCUCAGCCCAGUCAAGGCAUCAGUUGCCUGCAGCCCAGGGCCAACCCUGUGACUGCAAUCUCAAGAGACACCCUGAGUCAGAACUACCCAGCUAAGCUGUUCCCAGAUUCUUGACACUCACAAACUAUGUAAAAAAUAAUAAAUAUUCAUUUUGGUAUCAA